GGUCGGUGAUGUGGUGGCAUGUGUUAGUUGAAUUCACAGUUGAGGUCAAUUCUAAAAUUACACUAAACCCUU
ensembl:snoRNA